ensembl:lncRNA
UCCUUGAAAAAAAAGUAACAGGAAACAUGGAAAUGUCGUGUCUUAAUAUUUAGCUUCUUCUUCCUUCAUCUGAUACUUUUAAUUUGCCUUUCCUCUGUCUUACGCAUUCAUUCUGCUGCUAUUCCCUAAGUAUUUAUGUGGUAGCAGAAUUUUCUCUGUAGUGUCCUCCACUGCAUUUUAGUGGUGUAUUUUCCCAUAAGUUUGACAGACAUCUCUUAACAUACCAACUACAUCAGGACAGCAGUUCUCAAAGUGAACAGCUAUCACUUCCAUAGACUGCUCAGCUGUCUAUCUUUCUAACUGCAUCUCCUUGAUGUAUCUGAAUGCAGGCAUUUAUCUCAAACUGCUGCUUUUCAGUCAUUUGUGUUGGCACACCUAGAAACCAAAAUGAAGAAAAAUAUAGGGACAGAAAAUAAUGGCAUUUCUCAGUUAGUUACAUAGUUUGAUGUAUUUAAAGAGAACUAAAGGAAAACUAAGCUUUCAAUGAAGACAGUGAGCUGGGAAGUUGGUGACUUUUUUUAGUUACUAGCUAUUAAGAAAUUAAUUUUCCCCCAGAUCUCAGAUGGUAAAAAUAAACCUUUAUUUCUCUUCCCAUUUUUAAGACAAGUUAUUUAGAAUUAUAAGCUCAGUUGGAAACUAUCUAUUGUGUGUAUGUACGGUGCCUAGAUGGGUUCUUGAUCUAGAUCAUUAUUGCUAAAUGGAGCAAAUAUAUAUUGGUCACAAAUGAAGAAAAGACACAGGUUUUCUAAAGGAUAUACUUAAAAAAAGAAGUUGUCAGAGCAUUUUUUAACAUGCUAGUAUACUUCAUAUACACAGGUCACCUGAUAUGGACCUUCAGGCCUGUGUGUUCUUUUCUCCUCAGUGUGUAAGUAGGGAGUACUUUCUGAAAUGCUUGCAUUGUGGUAUUUACAUGAGCAUACUUCAGAGAGUAGAUGGAAGGGUUACCGGAUAGCCAUUUAAAUUGCUUCCCAUGUAUUUCAAGCACUGAAUACUCUGCGAGUCAACUUCUCAUCUGAAUCCGGAUUAUGAUGUUUGGAAAUGGAUUUCUGAAAUAAAUAAAUAUGAUAAUGAUAAGGAUUUGCCCACCUGCUCUUUGUUAUCAUUUCUGCCCAGUAUUUAUACAUAAAUACAUACCAUAGACAUAUGCAUAAAACAAAUUACACUAAAAAAAAACCUUCUAGAUUGCAUCCCUGAUUUUUUUUUUACGGUGAAUAAUCAACCCAAAUUGCCAUAAAAACUGUGUGAGCAGCAAUAUUUACAUAUGCAGAUAAACAGAAGGAAUGCUUUCACCAUAACUUAGUGUUUCUAAUCCACUGUUUCCAUAGUCUUCCAUAACCUCCUGAAAUAUGUGUAGUCUGGGCCAAAGUCACUCUCAUCCUACAAUCAUCCUACAAUCCCCACUGUUCGAGGCCUUCGGCCUUGCAGCUGUUCAGGAGCAGGCACAAGGCACAGCGCAGUGUCACCAACGUGCACGUGCUGUAUGAUGAGGCUGACAAGGACCCAACACCAGCGAUCAGAGCUGGUAAUUGAGGCAUGGAAACAACAUCACACACAUAUGCGAUGUACCCACCUCUGUUCCAGUUGCCACGGGAAACCUAGCUUUGAAUUUCCUUGUGUCUCAGCGUAAAAAAAGCUGGGAGCAUGCAGCAUCAAUACAGAGGGCCUGGCUUUGCACCCCUUGGGCACAAACCUAAAUAAUACAGGUGUCGGAGUGAAAUCUUUAUGAGUGUUUACUCCUUUGGUGUUGUGCUUCGUUGCUGCUCUGUUUGAAGAGCCCUAAGUGACCCUUUAAGCUUCAAUGCAGCCAGACAAACUUUUAUCCCAGACAAUUACGAGGGAAAACACGGUAAUGUCACGCAAACGUGAUCCAGUGACUUAAUUAGAACCAAGUUAGCUGAGACAGAGAGGAGCUGUAAAUCUCUUGAGGCUGAUGGGGGAUGUUGAGGGAGGGUGAAGCCCUUGCAGCACUGCGAGAGCACGCAUGGGGGGGGGAAGAAAGAGAAGAAAAAAAGAAAAAGAAAGAGAGAGAAGGAAGGGAAAAAACCCUUUCAGCCAGAACAGAAGAGCCGAAAGAGUUAACUCGCAGCCGCAGCUCUCGCAAGGCAGCCCUCGCCAGCGGCCUGGGAAGCAGCCCGGCGCCCUCUGGUGCAGGAGAGCAGCAGCAGUGGAAAUUUCCUCUGGGAAGCAGCUUUGUUUCGAAGUUCAGACGGAUUAAAACGACCCUAAAACGUGCCGGCGGGACGGGACCGACCUCGCUCCGCACCCGGACGGGGGAGCCCCGCCCGGAGAAACUUUGGAAAAUGAGCGGCAUAUCCCCGACGUCCGCUCUGCUUUUGCUCACCGGCUGAAAUGCUGAGACUUCUUCCAGAGACACAUUACGCAGGGAAAGAAAAACAGAAUACCACAUACGGACACGAUUUCUCUCAUACGAGCCAGCAGAAUGCUGCUAUCACCGCGCGGGCGGCACCGCACACCUGGCCCGCUGCACAGAGACACUGCUCUGCUAUUCCGGGGUCCCCAGCGGGCUGCCUAGAGAAUGGGAAUCGGAGAAAGGGGAUCGGUUACAUAAUGAAAUGAAAUGAAAUGAAAUGAAAUGAAAUGAAAUGAAAUGCAAAAAUAAAAUGAAAGUACCCACUCUUCAGCCAGCCAAAGCACACCGUCGCUGAGUACAUGUAGAAAGGGUCGCAUGCAGGCGGGCUUGUCCUAUUAAUGGGACACAGGAAGAGACAGAAGAGCGAACGCGUGUCCUGGAGAUAACGUGGGAUGUUAUUUGGGCAAUAGAUUAAGAGCUGGAGAUCAGCAGCAAAUGUGCUGGUACUUCGCGUUAGUGUUUCCUAAAGCAGCGUCCCCGCUUUGCUGAGCGCCCUUUCUUGAGGGAGGGAAGCGGAGUAUUGGGAGGCGGCUGAAAAAUGCGGGGAAAGAAAUAGAGAUGACAGCUCCCGCCGGGAAGCGGAUCAAAGUUAUAGACUGGAAACGUGCGGCUAUCACGGGCUGCUCUUCAGCGAGCGGUUGGAAAUCAUAAACAUAUAAAUACAGAACUAAUUACGAGACCACACCGGAGUUUAUCCAAAAAUGUCUGGGAAGUAACAGAGCCAGCUCUUGAGGGACACGGUUUAGCGAGAACCAUUGGUGAAGGGCGAAUGGUUGGACUGGAUGAUGCUGUGGGUCUUUUCCAACCUUAGCGAUUCUACGAUUCUGUGAUUCUAUGAAAGUGUCGCUGCCUCUCGGGGAAGCCCGUAGGUGCCGGAGGAUUGGCAGCCGAACGCCAAAUAGGGGGGAGAGGGAGAGGGAGGGGGAGCCGAUCUCCCCACGCUGCGAAGCGCAGCGCGACGCGUCCGUAACAAUCCCAAUCCGUUGCGAUUUGUGUAGUUCAGGGAUACGAAGUGUCGGUCGUCACCGCAGUUGUUGAAACCCGGGCAGCGGUACGCGAUCGGGGUGUGCGCAUUGCUCCAAGUAUGACCUCAAGAGUUGGAGAAGGAAGCACUGUAGGUAACAACACUGCGGUAGUCAUUCAUUUUCUUUAAACAGAAAUAAUUGAUUUCGAAUGAACUUUUCUCACAACAGAGAUUUCGCAAAAGAAGAAUUCGGUAUUUUUACUUACAAGUACUUUAUAUAUAUAUACACACACAUAAUUCGGACUUUUCUUUCAUUCCUCGCUUUGUGCCCGUGCUUAUUACCAUCCAGUAGGAUUUCCAGAAGAAAAAAACACUGCACAAGAUGACGGGCGCAUAAAGUGACCAAACUCGUGCAGGCAUAUACGGGAACAGGACGCGGCCCUGGGGGAACGACUGCUGGGUGCUUCCACAAAGAGCCGCUUUCCUUUCCCUCUCUCCGCUCAGCCCUAAUCGCACAGAGCGGGGCGGUACCUCAGCCGCAGGGACGAGACCUGCACCCUCCCGACCUCUCCGCCAACCUCCGGGGCUGCGCUUCUCGCGGGGAGCUCGGCUACCGCCGGGGGCAGCGGGACGGUGGGUCCGCUCAUCCAGGGGAGGGGAAAGAGGCUCCAAGGGAAUUAGCACCCCGAAAUAUUCCGCUUUCACUCAUGCCGCAGAUAAAUUGUUUUAUCAACGACCCAUUAGCUGCGUUAAUGACCCGUGAUAUUUAAUCACCAGCGCGCCGUGAAAAUUAUUAUUUAUUUGAAACUCCAUUGCGAUUUCCAGCCACCCUCUACUUACCGAGGGUAUAACGUGCACUGUUACAAGGAGAGCGGGAGGGCACUGGAACAGAGGCAGCCAACACAGCGCAGAGCAGCGCUACGCUGGGCUGCCAGCCCCGCUCCCGCACAGCGCUCCCCCACUGCUCGCGCGGUGCGAGACGCGGCCCGGCGGGAGGGCAGGCAGCCUUCCAGCAGGGGCCUAACCAGGGGCUUAGCAGCCUAACCUUAAAGACCGGCGUUAACCAACGAGAAGCUCUCUCCGACUUCGCUGCGUUUCUCAGCUCCCUGCCCCACGCUCCAGAGAUGACAUAAACAGAUGCGAACCCUGGAGGUGCGGGGCGUGAAAGUUAAAGCAUAAGAGCAAAGCUACGCUGCCAGAAACGCAAGGCGACGGUAGGCGCUGUUCGCGCGGCGGUGGCUGCGCUUUGCGGCGCGCUGAGAGCGCCCGUUCGUUCCCCGCGAGCGGUGCAGAUGCGGUAUUGCAGUGAGCCCCGAUCACCGCGGCCGGGGCAUCUGCAGAGCAGUCCCUGAGAAGAGCCGCCGGCGGGACGAGAGCCCUUAUAGCGCCGUCCGACUGCCCCAAGUGCUUUUACUCCGGGUCUGGCCCUUUGCAACAGCUCGGAGUCGCGCUCCGAGGCGGGCACAAAUAAAACCUCGGUCCCCGACGGUUUAACCGCGAUGUGCCCGGAAUGAGGCCCCGAGCCCUCGGACGCGGCCAAGAGCUGAGGGGGUGGCAGCAGCGAUGAUCACGGCCCGGGCACGGCCUCUGCCCAUGGGCCAGGCCCCGCCUCGCUCCCUGCGCUGAGCCGGCAGCGUGCGUGGUUCGGGGAGUCACGGCACACCUAUGGGGAAAGCGCUGCUGUGAAGGCAAGAAAGCAAAGUAAAAAUAUAUAUAUUAAAAACAAAACAAAAAACAAACAAACAAAAUAAAAAAGCAAAAGGGAAGCACGGGACGGGAGGUCACCAACACAGCGCUCCCUGCUCCAAAUCCCUGCGUGAAACGUUGCUCCGAUUCCCCCCACGCUGCUCCCCUCACGAGAGGUUGGAGCAUUCUGUACUCCUGCAGUGCUGCUGUCUGUUCUGCGUAAGGCAGCAACCGCAGCUCCUGAAACACUUGAGAGUUGAACAGGAGAACGGCAAAGACUGAGAUAUUCGGAGACCGAUGUUUAUUUUAUACAAACUGUAUCUUUAAAUGGAUCAGGGACAAAUAAGACCCGAGGUAACACAAAAUCCGUAAGACAAGCGGAUCUUCUAUCCAGGCAUUGCCGUUAUGCCUGGUUCAUACAGCGCUCGGUAAUACGGAUUAACUACAACGAUCGAUAGGUGAAAUCUGAGCAGCGCUAUCGACUGCAGCGAUACAGUGUGACCCUACCAUUCCGACUGUGCCUCCGGGCUGUUUUCCCAUGGUGUGCUCCUCAGCCACCACCUCCACACACGACGGGCUGCCGUAGGCUGCCAGGAUUGAAACACAUCAUAUAACCCAGGGGAAAAAAAAAAAAAAGGUUUUAGUCCCAGUGCUGCCCUACCUAUUCAGGAUGGCCAAACACAUCUCCUCGACCAUGAAGAUCAGUGAAAACUGUGAUGUGGGAGCAACACGUGUGGUUUGAAACAGCGCAACUUCAGCUGCCUUGCCUUUAAAACAUGCUUUUGUGGUGUACGUGCUCCUGAACGUGAUGCGUUGUAUUGCACAGAGCAGACAGCAGCCUUCCGCCUCCUUAUAUUCUGCUAAUUUCUUAGAACUCAUGGAGUACCAAAUGGAAAGAGAGAAACAGGCAAAGACACUCCGUGCAAGGAGGAAGAAGAAGAAAAACCUCGCCGUUUUUAAACUGUUACGCCACAGGCCCCAGAUCUUUGGGUUAAACGAAGGAAAAUAAAAGAAAGCAGAGGGCACGCUGACAUCACGCAGCACUGCAGCAUCACUCGGGGCUCUGGAAGGAGCCAGGUGGAGG